rnacentral:lncRNA from 1 species
GGUGGAUCCAUCAGGGCCUUGAUGGGUUCAACAUCGGAAAAGAUGUACCUCUGCCAGGUACCAAACUUUGGGUUUAAAUAAUAAAGCUGAGACCGGGCGGGUGGCUUGCACGAGAAGAGAGUCUCAGUGUAGUGCCUCCGUCUGAGUCGAUUAAGGACUGUCUCAAUGUAGGCUUGCUGAUCGAGGACCUUUUAACUGGUCACAUGCCUCAUCAUGGGUAAGCUUUGCCUCGGGCAGACUAAUACUAGAAAGGCCAACACGCAAUGGGAGUGGAGAGAUGGCGAGAGUAGUGUGUACCCUCCAUGGCAAGAGGCUGGACGGUGGUGUAUCUGUGCUCUCGGUUGGCGUGAACCUGGUCUGGUCUUAAGAAACCCGUUGGCGAGUUGACAUAUGCAAGGGUUAAGUGCAACAUAUGUCGUAUGAUUGGAGAUCCCCAGCUGGGUAUUUAUCGAUUCGGAUCGCCGUUACUUCUCAGACAUGAAGACUUGGUCACUGCCCUACACAUAGCAAUCCAGUGAACUGAAGGGAUGAUAAAAAGACGGCUAGUAUAGGCCAUGUUCUUGAACUAGGAUAGAAAGAACUCUAGAUGCAGGUAACUUUACUUAACCUGACUGUUGGGGGCCUUCGGCUUCCGAAGGUCCUCAAAAACGUAAUUUGACUAUGUUUUCCAAAAGAAAUAUGUGAACAGGUACCUUCGAAGUCAGAUUGCGAGUAUACAAGAACAUGGUUAAGACGAAGCUUGAUUGGGACGGCGAUCACGACGAAGGAUAAGACGAUCACGAAGCUACGUGCAGAAGAGCUUCGGCAUAACGGCAGAAAGAGGAAACCGACUUAAAGAUGAAAGGCCAAAUUAGACCUCGAAGAAUUACUAUAGAGUUAUUGAUAAAUAUAAAGGGCAUUAAUGUAAUUUUGCAUGGGCUGCGACCCGUGCCUAUAAAUAGGUGAACAGUAUUCCCGUACUGUUCACGCUGACUGGGCAUUUACUUUUGUGUCACAC